GACGAACGCUGACGGCGUGCUUAACACAUGCAAGUCGAAGGGCGUGGCGAACGGGUGAGUAACACGUGAGUAACCUGCCCUUUUCGGUGGGAUAAGCCUGGGAAACUGGGUAUAAUACUGGAUGGUUUGGGAUGGGGUGUCGGCUUAUCAGGUUGGUGGUGGGGUGAUGGCUUACCAAGCCUUUGACGGGUAGCGGGGCUGAGAGGGUGGUCGGGCACUCUGAGACGGAGAUACGGCCCAGGUUCCUACGCGAGGCCGCAGUGGGGGAUAUGGCACAAUGGACGGAAGUCUGAUGCCGCGACGUCGUGUGGGGGAUGAGGGCCUUCGGGUUGUAACCUCCUUUCGCCCGCGGAAUGGUAGUGGGUAAAGAAGCGCCGGCUAACUCCGUGCCAGCCGCCGCGGUAAUAC
rnacentral:rRNA from 1 species